UUCUUGAUUUAAUCUCACUGCUAAAUCAAAUCUGGGAUCUGGAACAGGACGAAAAAAGAAGAGGCCAAGAUAGUCUUCGAAGCAGAUUUUUUGUUCUACACGGACAAAUGUCCAAUACGACCUAUGAGCUGCAAAGCAAAAAUGAUCAAAUCCAAAAAAGUCAGUGCAACUCUCCAGCUUUAAUAUUUAACUUUAAAAAUGAUGUUGUUGAUCUAAGAUUUCCUGACAGCCAUGUUCUGAUCCUCAUUCAGCGCUGGCACUGAUAUUUUUUCAAAGUGUCGUCGCUGCCGAUCAGAGGCACAUCAAUGCUGUCAUUGAACAAUCCAGAGCUGAAGCUGCCGACCACCAGAGGCAAUGGAAGCAAAAAGUCAAUGUCCUUAAAAAGAAGAUUAUACAGUUGAACAGUGAGGAGAAUAAUGUUC